rnacentral:rRNA from 3 species
AAACUUUCAACAACGGAUCUCUUGGUUCUGGCAUCGAUGAAGAACGCAGCGAAAUGCGAUAAGUAAUGCGAAUUGCAGAAUUCCGUGAGUCAUCGAAUCUUUGAACGCACAUUGCGCCCCUUGGUAUUCCGAGGGGCAUGCCUGUCCGAGCGUCAUUG